AGAAUGAAGCCUCUUUGCCAACUGUGUCAAUCCAUGGACGUUCUAUCUUUAUGAGGUCAGUGGAUGGGAAUGUGUCCCAUCUGGCCUGUACCUAGUCACCAGUCCACAAUGGCAGAGAUGAGGGAGGGCUCUGGUACGACCCACAGCACAACGCUCACCACGCCCAGUUAACCCGAUGUCAAACAGGCGAGACAGUGAUCAAUCUGCACGUCACUGCUGACUGUUAUGCCUGAGGCACAAUAACGAACUCCACUAGCAAUGCAGGUCACAAAGGUUCUAUGUAUCAAUCUGUAGCCAUGGUAGCAGGUGGGACAAUGAACUCAGGCUGACUGGAAAACAGACACAAGUGACGAACUGGAACUUGGGACUGACGCAGAGAACAAACAAGCUUUCAGCAUCCUGCAUUCAAAAAACUAAGCACAGCAGCAGCAGCUACUGCCGGCCAUUGACAGAGAAAGAGACACUUCCCUUCCCCACCUUCCUCCGGAGGCUUUGGGAGGCUCUGCCCGACACCCAUACACAACUGUAGACAACGACACAGGAAAGCAGCCAUGGCAUGAGCUGUGGUGAGGAGUUCAAAGCACUGUUCAAAGAGUGUGUUGUGGAGUUUGCUGGAAAGUGAAGAACAGAAUGACUACAAGAGCACAGCCUGAGUGGACCUGCUUCCCGGAGAUGCAUGCUGAAGGGCCUUCCUACUGGCUGAGGCCAGUGAACAGAGGCUUCCUCAUCUGCAAAGCCUUUCUGCCCAAUCCCUGUGCAAGGUUUAUGGAACAAAUGUCUUCAGGUGAGAUGUAAAGCAGCAACUCCAUGAGAAACUAAGAUGCCAGAAGCCUCCACAUCAAGCAACGCACAAGCACCACUACCACCAGUUUAAGUCUCAAACCAAGGCUCAACAAGAGGUCAGUCAGCUAGCUGUCUGUUACCAGGGGGAUGAAGGCUAGAUGGUAAGAUGCCUCCUUACCUUAAUUCGUCAACAACCAAAGCAGCUGAGGUACAUCUUCCUUUCUCACCGACUCACUACAACAGACUUGCAACUGAACUACAGCAAUGUACACGUGAGUCAUUCCAAACUACUAAACUCUAACUCAAACGCAAAACCUGGAAGCGGGGGGCAUCAUAAAGGUACUCUGCAGCAUCAGAAUUUGGAUCAUUGCUGCACACUGAUUUCAGUGUCUGACAUCCAGUACUCAUUGAAAUGAACAUGUUGUGCCUAACUAAGCUAAGGAUACCACAAAUAAAUCCAAAUGGCCAGUGAGAAAGGCAAGCUACAUUCCAUGAUGACCAAAACCCUAAUCUUGGGUUGUUACCACAAAAGAUUACCUAAAAAUAAAAGAGGACAACACCAAUUUGUAAACAGUCAAAGCUCCAGACAUGGUGGCACAGGCCUUUGAUUCCAACAGAAAGAAGACGGGGCAUCCAAUCUCUGUGAAUUUGAGGCCAGCCUGGUCUACAUAGCAACUUCCAGACCAGCCAGAGCUACAUAAUGAGAUCCUGUCUCAAAAUAAAAAGCAUAAAAUAGUUAAAACCUCCAGUUACCAGUAAAGACAUACUAAAUUCACCCUUAUAUAGCAAUGACUUAAAAAAUACUUUUCUUUUGUGAAAAUUCUAUCCCUAAAUCUGAAAUCUGAAACCAUAAUUUAAAACUUCUGUAAGUUUGUUCAUUCAGGUAUCUCCGGAGCAUCUGCGCUAUUAUGGGGCACUUAGGUAUUGCAUGAGGUAUCCUACGCCUCAUGCUCUAGGGAUCACAGGUAAUACGAUCAUGGGAGGUAUCACGGGAACAGGAGUGCUUGACUGCUGGACACAGUGCAAGACUGAACCUGCCUAGAGGCUGUGCCAGCCCGUGGUGAGGCUGUGCCAAUCGGAGUCUGCUCUCCCUUGGGAGAGCAUCUACCCUGAAACUCUGAUGUGGGAAAGAAAGGAGGGGCUGUCAACAGAAGUGAGAAGCCACUCGGGAACAUCAAAGAAGAGGCUGGACCCCAAACCAACUGACUGAACUUGGUGUGGGAAGCAUGACCAGCAAGUCAUUUACGAACAUGGGCACGCCAGUCUGACGUUCACAAAAGCUUCAGGGAAAAUAACCUAAGAUGCUGGACAAGUUCACCCCGGCUCUUUAUGCCGACAGCGAUUACAGAGCUGAGAGAUGCAUCCACGGGGCAUAAACAUAAACAAACGAGUAAAUAAGAUAAAAAUCCAAGAAACACCCGACACGAGUGAGGAUUUUCUACCUACCAGCUUAGUGGCUGUGGAACUUCAACUUUCUGUCCAUCUACCUCCAGGUCCUCCAACUCCUUAAAAUACUUGUUCUUCAAGCAAUGGAGAAUCUCUUUUGCGUGGCUAUGAAAAAAAUAAGCAAUUUUCACAGUGACCUAAAAAGCUGAGUUGGUAAAAAUUUAAUAACUUUAAGACUAAAAAUAUAUCUUUAAAACUAAA